rnacentral:lncRNA from 1 species
AUUAAAGUUCUAAAUAAUUCUUAGUAAAGUCAUGCAAACAGGAAAGGAAGUAAACAGGAUUAGUUCCUUAUUGGUGGAACACAUAGUCAGUGGAGGUUUGGGAAGGGAGAUUUUAGUCAACUGAGAAGUUCCCAUGAAAGGAACAAGAUCAAGAUCUGAUGAAAGGGGAAGAGACAGCAUGAAACAAAAUCCAGGAAUAAGUUCCAACUCAAGAGGAGAACAGAGAGGCCUCAAAACCAAAGCUAGGAUAAGAAACUUCUAGCCCAAGAGUUAUCUUCCAGACAAAGACGCCUGGGAUUCCAACCCAGAUUCAGAGAGUACUCACUCAAAAUGUUACUCAAACUUUAGGCUUUUUAAGGACUUAGCUAUGCAUGCAAAAGGCAUUCCCUAAGGUGGCACAGAAGACGGAGCCCCUAUAUCCAAAGAUAGCCAAGGAGAAAGAAAGAGGUUACAGCCUGCAGGGUAGUCCUUCUGACAGGCUAGGAAGUAUAGCCUCCAGCCAGAAGCCAGAAACAGACACUUUCAAAGGAGAGUUAAAGGAAACAGUAAUUUAUGCUGAGUGGCAUGGCCAAAUACACGUAUUUAAUAAGCUCUAGGAGGAGUCAUGAAUAUUUAUGAAAGGAGAAAUGCGUGCAUGAGCAAUUGAGUGUCUUGCUCCUUCAUGGGUCCCAUGUACAAAAAUUGGCAGUGUUAGCAUGAUCCCAGGAUAGAUAGAAUUUUCAGCCCCCUAACAUUAAAAGGUGAAGCAGAGGACAUGAAAACUCGCUCUGUGCAUGCUCUGUACGCUGGCCAGAACCUCUCUGUCAUGGGUGGUCUCUUAUCAGGCAAGAAAGGAGAGGCAGCUUCAGGCAGUUGGUUGAUAUCAGUGGUGGAGUCUUUUUAAAGGGUUGGUUUCUGUUAAAUCCUUAUGGAAGAAAGCCUCAUCAUGGUUAGCAAAGGAGAGGGUAUAACAAGGUGUAUCUGACUCCCAUCAUCCCACGCUGGCCAAGCUGAGAACUCAGUUUUGAAAGUUAUUCUGGGCUCCCCUCAGCCAAGAGUGGGUCUGUUCAGUCAGUUGGGAGCUUAGGAUUUCAUUUUCAUUUAUCAAUGCUAAUGGGAAAGAGUACGCUGUCUCCAUGGCAGCUGAAUUUGCAAGAAACUCCUUGGAUGGGGUUAAUGGCAGCUGUAUUUUUCUUUGACCUUGGCUUUAAUUAGAUAAAGUAAGUUAUAGUAAGAUUUCUUCCUUUAUCUUCAGUAUGUCAAAUGUUUUCAUUUAAAUAAUCUUUGUAACAACUUUUGAUGUCUGAGUGGAUUCCCACACAGUCAUCUAUUGUAAGACUUUCUGAUUCCUUUUUUUUCCUUUGGUCAUUAUGAAUAGGGCUUCUGUAAAUAAUAGCAUGGUAGCUUUUGUUUGGAAAUAACAUCAAAGUAGUUGUCAAAAUACUUAGGAAUGUGAUUUUUGGAUUGUAAGGUGAGACUUGUUUAGCUCUGGAAAAAAAUGUCCAAUUUGUAAUAGAGGAGGAAAAAUAAUUUUCUAUGUUUUUGGAAUUCUUAGAUGGGACCCUCUGUAAAAACUAAGAGAUUAAAAUGAGAAAAACAGAAAAGUUAAAAAACAUGUAUACCUUAUGGAUACAUGGGAGAUACUCAGGGAAAAAUGAGUAAAUCUCCAACAGGUGGCUUUCAAUUCAAGCAUAAAUACUAUCUUCAACUUAAAGAAAGAAGAUUUGAGGUGCAGUAGUGGGGAGUUAACCAGCAAAAGCACAGUAGACAAGGGUAAUGUUUGUUAUACAGACUUAAGUCCAUGCAUUCUCCAUUGAUAAGACUCUUUAGUGAUUUAGUUAUCCUUCUCCUCUUGGUGUCGAGAGAGGUAGCUUUUAAAUGUGGAUUUCCUUUAUAGAUGUAAAUUUUCCUUACACAAGGGUAACUUCUCUGUUUUCAGAACUUCCUUUGUUAGCAUUUUUUUUUCAAAAUAAUCAGCUUGGAAUAAUUCUGAAGCCAAAGGGACAUAUUUUGGGGUGGCAUAUUCUGGUUUCCUACCAUUAUAUUUUGGUGUGGCAUAUUUUGGUCUUAUACAGUGUGUUCCACCUGCAAUGAAAAGAGUUGUUUUUCCUCCAGCAAUUUGUCAUUUUUAAAAGAGUUUAGCAGUUCUAAGAGAUAUCGACUAGCUGUGCUAUGUCAUUGUUUUUUUCAGUUCUCUAGUAUGUUGAGCAUCUUUUUGUAUGUUUACUUGCCAUCUGUAGAUCUUCUUUGGUGAGGUGUCUGUUCAGAUCUGUGUGCAUUUUUAAUUGGGCUGUUUAACUUAUUGUUUAGUUUUAAGAACUUUUUAAUAUAUUUUGAAUACAAAUUCUCAGAUAUGUAUUUUGCAAAUAUUUUCUUUAAUAUGUGGCUUGUCUUUUUUUUCCUCUUACCUUGGUCUUUUCCAAGGUAAGAGAAACUUUAAAUAUUAACAAA